ACCAGGCCCAGCCACACUGGGUUUCUCAACCACUUCUGUAUCUUUCAGCUGUAAAAGCUGCGGUUUUCAGUCCCCAGUGCUUAGCCAGAGUCUGGUACCUAGUACAUAUUCAGAGGAGGUGGCAGAGGCUGCUGACUGCCUACCAAAGGUCUAUACUAUCCUCGUUUCCAGUGAAUAGAACCCUGCUAUUGUUUGGAGCUGCGACGACGUACCCAUCUUCCCAAUUUCCUUGUGAAUAAGUAUGGGUAUGUGAGUCAAUUCCAGCCAAUGAGAUGGAAGCAGAAAUCUGCUGGGGACUUUUGGGAAAUCCUUACAGAAGGACCAUCCCUUACUUCUCGAUUCCUUUUCUCCCUGCCUGGGACAUCGUCAUGAUGGUUACAGCUGCAGCCAGCUUGCAACUAUGAGGCUAUAAGCAUGAAAACAAAAGCCUACGUGCUACCGUGGAGGUGUGAGAAGACAGAGUCUGGAAUCUUGUGGAAAGAGUUCUCCGUCCAGCUCUCCAAAUUCUGAUUUGGUGACGCCCCCGGAAUUUUACCAUAACAGCAACUUGCCUUUUCAAGCUUGAUCCUCCAGCCAAAUUCCCAUCCUGGCUUCCUCAUUCCCCUCUGAGUGAUCAUUGCUCCAUGACCCAGACCUUAGCCUCUCCCUCUCCUCCUACUGCAAAGAACGACGUCACAUCUCUACCUUAACAGCAAUUUGAUGACUCC